rnacentral:rRNA from 1 species
CGCGUAGGCGGCCUUGUAAGUCAGAUGUGAAAGCCCGGGGCUUAACCCCGGAAGUGCAUUUGAAACUACAGGGCUUGAGUAUGGGAGAGGGAAGUGGAAUUCCUGGUGUAGAGGUGAAAUUCGUAGAUAUCAGGAGGAACAUCUGUGGCGAAGGCGACUUCCUGGACCAAUACUGACGCUGAGGCGCGAAGGCGUGGGGAGCCAACAGGAUUAGAUACCCUGGUAGUCC